rnacentral:lncRNA from 1 species
GAAGGACGGAAAACGUGUUGGCUGGUGCAUACUGUAAUAAACAGCACUCCAUGGAAUUAUUCUGGGUUUAUGACAUUGGCAGUCAGAAGAGAGAUGAGAUUUCUAGUGUCUGCUUCUUCACUGAUCCAUCGUGUGCUACACUCCCAAGCCAUCUUUGCUCAAAUAUGACAAGUCCAUCCCCUUGUGCAAAAGAGUCACUCCCAGUGGAACACUGAGGUCCUAGAGGGACCUUUCCACAACCCCUGUAGCAAUAAAACAGCCUCCAUGAGAAGAUGGCCUUUCUACAGAUUGAACCUAGGGCCUUAGCAAUGCUAGGCAAACACUGGGCUACAGCUCUAGCACAAGACUUCCGGAUCCAAACAUUCUUCAGCUGUGAUGCAAACCUUUUGCCUGUGCAACAUUCAUCUGAACUGACUUGCAUCGCCCCCACGGGACUGAGGAUAAGGAGAGCCGAUGUGAACAUAAAACUUGUUGCUCUACACCUACGCUGCGACCCUUUAAUUCAGUCCCUCAUGGUGUGGCAACCCGAACCAGAACAUUCUUUUCAUUGCUACUUCAUAGCUGUAAUUUUGCUACUGUUACGAUUUAUAAUGUAAAUAUAUGUUUUUCUGUGGUGUUAAGUGA